UAGUGAGUAGAGAGUUAAGAGAGAAAUUCUCUUAAGUGUAAUUGGGAAAUCUCCCCUUCCUUUGUUAAUAUUAAAAGGGCAAUUGUUCUCUGGUGGAAGUAGGAUUAUUUUAAUCCGAACCACGUUAAAUUUUUGUGUUAUUUAUUUUACGUUUCCGCUAACACCUUUACCUUUUAUUUUAUUUUUCAAGAUCCUAAAGAUUAUACUCGUAUGUUCUCUUCCAUAUUUUCUCUUCCAAAGGCUAAGUGCCUCGCCUUACGCUCUGCCUUUCUAGCAGUGGAAAGAAAUAAAUUUCUUUACUGAUGUUCAAGAUUUAACAUACAUGUAUAAAAAGUAAUUUUUGACCUAUAUAUAAAAUAUAAUUUUCAAUAUACAUCGUAUAAUUUUUCGAUAAGGGGCGUUCAAUUGACCACUGUUUACUGUAUGCGGCUAUGUCACUGCCUUUUGGUGUUAUAUGAUUAAAUCCUCAAAGCAGUCCUCUCGCUAUUUUCUCCUGUACGGUAUAGAACUAAUUCUUUCUAUUAAUUAGAGAGGGAUGGUACUAUGUCCUUCAUAUGGAUUCCAGUACCUCUUUGUUCCCCUUUGGAUGAUUACUAUUCAACAGUGUACUUGGAAAUCUUCAGAUGUAUUAAUACAUGGCCAUCUUCUGUAAGGCAUAGCAGUCAAGUUAAGGAAUUAGGUGUAACAUUUCCAUCUUUGUACCAUUUUUUCCUUUGGUUCAGUAAAUAAUUGAUGAAACCGUCCAAGAUUGCAAUAUUCCCAUCCAAGUUGUGGCUAAAGAAUACUAUUAUAUUUUACUUACGAGUGAUAAAAUUUUAGUUAUUUGCUUAUUGAUUGUAUUUUUCUUCCUUUUUUCAGGCACCAAAUUUAGGAUGUGAUGCACCAUUAACAGUUGAACCAAGAAUAUCUUUAGAUUAAAGUAACAAUGAUGAUGUGAAUUAGUGAUAAUUUUAUACGAUCAACUAUGGAUCUUUUGGAAACACAAUUUGAAGCACUAAUAUUUGGAUGAUGUAAUUUUGGUAUAAUUGUGUAAGCGUGAAUUUGUGUUAUUUUGUUGGAUCAACUAUGAAUCUUUUGGAUAUUAUUGUUGAAAUACACUUUGAAACAUUAAUAUUUG
rnacentral:lncRNA from 1 species